ACGCUCGACACCUACGGGAGGCGGCAGUAGGGAAUCUUCCACAAUGGACGCAAGUCUGAUGGAGCAACGCCGCGUGAGUGAAGAAGGUCUUCGGAUCGUAAAACUCUGUUGUUAGAGAAGAACACGAGUGAGAGUAACUGUUCAUUCGAUGACGGUAUCUAACCAGCAAGUCACGGCUAACUACGUGUCAGCAGCCGCGGUAAUCUGAGCGGGCUGGCAAGGC
rnacentral:rRNA from 1 species